rnacentral:lncRNA from 1 species
AAUCGUUCGAUCACCAAUAUCUCAUCAUAACAACAUUGAAGAAAUUAUGCAAAAAAUAUCAUCUCAUCCUUGUGAAAAACAAUGUUAUGUAAUGUCAUCCAUGUAACCAUAAUGAGCCUAACAACACCUCCGUAAGAAUACUCCAUAUCUCAACAAGAUGUUAUCUGUAAGAAAAUCAGAAUAAAAGAAUAAUUAAGAUAUAAUAUAGCAAUAUUUUUUAGAGUAUCUAAACAUAUGGAUUAGUACACACACAAUUCAUAGUUCGACAUAUAAUGUUUUUGGCAGACAAGGAGAUGACACACAUCAAACACAAAUAUAUUACACGCAAUCCAAGGAAAAAGUUAGUAAUAUUUUUAGCAUAAUUUACUUUAUUUGUGCAGCUAAGAAAAAACCUGAAAAUACAACAUAGACCAUCUCAACCUUGUUUCAAAAUGGAAUAACAACAUAGUAAUGAUCCAAAAACCAAUACUAACCCAUUUAAUUAGUAUCUAAUCAUAUAUAUCCCAAGUAUUAAUUAUAUUCUACUGGUCACAAGAAAUUUGGGUUUUGAUCUGGUCAAGGCUGGAUAUUACUUCCAAUGGUGCACAGUUGAAACAGUACUAGAAUAUUUUUGAUCUUGCACAGGGGCUGUCAGACUGCUCAGGUAAUCUUUGUGCAGUGAUAUACUGUUGUUAGCUAGUUAGGGCUCUAUUAGAUUGAUAUUAAUUGUAUGGUGUGGUGUUGGUCCUAAAAGCUCCAGGACAGCAGAUCCAUAGUUUCACACUGUAAGGGUACUACAACUUGUAUAUGGGUUUUCUUUUGGUUGUGUUUUUACUCUCUAAAACCGCUGAAAUAAGAUGAGCAAGAAGGCAAUUUUAGGGAGGAAACUUUGUAAUUGCUCAGCUCAAACAAACAAUUUGAUAGAGUAAUGAAACAAAUUGAUUUUAUACAAAAAAAUUAUAUUCUACUAAUCAGCAAAGUAAAGCUUUCAUUGGUUACACAUUGGUCAAUAAGUAGUACUCGUCAACAUUAUAAGUGAUGAUGUUAUUGGUAUAAUGUAUACGUAAUAUUAAUCAACAUACCUUUAACAUUAUAGAAAUCGUUCAACGUAACCGAUAAACUCAAGACGAACUUCAUUCAGUUCAGCUUUGGUGUAUGUUGCCUUCAUUUUUAGCUCCGUCAUCUAAACAUGUCAAUGGGAAAGAAAAUGAACAAUAGUUUAAUUUAAACCUAGAAAUAUAUGGAACAAAAAAAAUGAGAAAAUAUUAAUCACCUUCUCCUCUAGGGAUUUAGAAGGAUCUUUCAUGAAAUGUCACAUGAACCGCAUUACAAAAUAUCCACAUUCAAAAUCCCCAACUUGUUUCGGGCCCUACAUACAAAAAUGCCAAAAUAUCAUACACAUUCACCAAUACUAAUAGUAUUAAUAGGAAGUUGUUAAGAAUUAUUUAUUUACCUUAGGGUAAUGCCAUGUAAGUUGAAUUUUUUUUCCUCCAUUCACCAUAAGAUGUGAUGUAAUCCCUCUUCAUAAAAAAUAAUCAAGUCAUAAAACUUUACAAAACACACACACACACUUAGAAACACAUUUAUGAACUUACGUGUUCACAAGUGCC